CCUACGGGAGACAGCAGUGGGGAAUAUUGGUCAAUGGGCGCAAGCCUGACCCAGCCACGCCGCGUGAAGGAAGAAGGCUUUCGGGUUGUAAACUUCUUUUCUCAGGGACGAAGAAAGUGACGGUACCUGAGGAAUAAGCCACGGCUAACUACGUGCCAGCAGCCGCGGUAAUACGGAGGUGGCAAGCGUUAUCCGGAUUUAUUGGGUGUAAAGGGCGUGUAGGCGGGAGCGCAAGUCAGAUGUUAAAACUCAUGUCUCAACCCUGAGACUGCCUUUGAAACUGUGUUGCGUGAGUGCAGGAGAGGCAAUCGGAAUUCAGGGUGUAGCGGUGAAAUGCGUAGAUAUACGGAGGAACACCAGUGGCGAAGGCGGAUUGCUGGACAGUAACUGACGCUGAGGCGCGAAAGCGUGGGGAGCAAACAGGAUUAGAUACCCGAGUAGUC
rnacentral:rRNA from 1 species